rnacentral:rRNA from 1 species
ACGAACGCUGGCGGUGCGUUUUAAGCAUGCAAGUCGAACGGCAAGGGGAGAGCUUGCUCUCCCCCUAGAGUGGCGGACUGGUGAGUAACGCGUGGAUGAUCUACCUUUGAGAUGGGGAUAGCUUCUAGAAAUAGGAGGUAAUACCGAAUAGCCUUAUCGUGUUAUGACGUGAUAAGAAAAUGGAGCAUUAGCUUCGCUUAAAGAUGAGUCUGCGUCCCAUUAGCUAGUAGGUAAGGUAAAGGCUUACCAAGGCGACGAUGGGUACCCGGCCUGAGAGGGUGAACGGGCACAUUGGGACUGAGAUACGGCCCAAACUCCUACGGGAGGCAGCAGCUGAGAAUCUUCCGCAAUGGACGAAAGUCUGACGGAGCGACACCGCGUGAACGAUGAAGGCCGGAAGGUUGUAAAGUUCUUUUGCAGACAAAGAAUAAGGAUAGAAGGAAAUGACUAUCUGAUGACGGUAGUUAUGCGAAUAAGC